rnacentral:lncRNA from 1 species
AUCAGAAAGGGACUUAAGAAUCUGAGAACAGAGAAGAGGAAGCAAGUUAGAGAGACCGUCUCAGUCCGUCUCCAGUCCCUGUCUGAGGCGGGCACCACCUCCCCCAGGCAUUUCCCUCCUUAAGAGACUUUGAAGGCACCCCAAACUUAAUGUUUACAGCAAUGUUGAUCUUUACACGUAUGAAUGGGAGUUUUUCUUUAAAUGUCAAGAGACUUAAUCAUUGCAUAUCUUUUGGCAUAAGGUUAAAGAGAAGAGGAUGUGGAAAUCAUGCCAUUGUUAAGAGAGAUUUUUCACUUCGUUUUAUAAAAUGGAAUGCGUUUUCAGAAAUUGUAUGCAGGCUGAACAGCUUAUAUUUCCUCUGUCACAGAAGUAGCUGAGCAGAGCGAAGCAUUCUGACUUUAAUUCAUGAACCAGGAAAUCUUUCGUGGCAGAUCCUGGUUGCACCUUACCCUCCUCUUCAGAAUUUGUCCCUACCAGUACCCCAACUCCCUACAGAGAGAGAGAGAGAGAGAAUUCGAGAAAGUGCACGUGCCAUCAAAGGAAUCCUCCUUUCUUUCAUGGCCGUCCCUUUGGGACAAACUUUGUCUGUGAGGCAAGGACAAUGAUGGUUUCCUUCCCACCUCCCAGAAGAAGACGGGGCCGGAUCCAGUGAUGAAGGAUGAGCAUGAGGUGAGGCAGACCUCACAUCGCAGAGAACCUAGGGGAUGUUAUUUUCUCUCUCCUUUCUAAAGCCUCUGUAAAAAGCUCCAGAUUUUUGUUCCUGAGUUGUGACUGCUGUAAAGAAUAUAAAAUCUGAGAUACUGUGACUCCCACGUGAUUUCACCUCUGGCUACGGGCAUGAGACAGCAGUGGGCGUUCUGUGGGUUUGCAUCUGACGCGCAGCCUUGGGGACGAGGGCGGACAGAAAGGAGGAUUAGCUGAUGCAUCGGUGCCUCCAGUGGGGUUUGCGGCCUUGUGCCCCGUAACCUUAAGCAAUUCAGGCAGGGAAAAUUGGAGGGACUGAUGAAAAGGAACCGCAGGAAAAGGAAGUGGAGGAAGAUGCAAAACUGAGGGAGAG